CCCCGAGUGCCUUUCUGUCUUUUCUAAGACUUCCGGGACCAAAAAUGGGGUCCUAGAGCACCUUCCUCCCUCUGUGGACUCCCCCAUUCAGAUCUCAGCAGCCUGGUUGUCACAGUAGAAUAAGAAUGGCUGGCCUUAACCUUCCCUGUGAGUGACGUGAAUGAAUGCCUACCUGGCUAGCUCUUAGCACUAGAGAUGCCACCGUCUGCCUAGCGAGUCCAUGAGACAGUUCCUGCCUUUGUCUUAGGACUAAUUUCUGCAGCAACCUCCUUCCUGGGCACUUCUGCUAACCUGGCCUAUAAGUCUUUUUAUUAGCCCCCUCUUGACCCAUUUCCCCUGCAGUCUAGGGAUUUUGAGUAUCUCUGGCACUCAUCUGUCUCCUGCCCUGUUCCAGCUCUGUGACUUUAGCAUCAUAGCCUCUUACUGCACUGAGGCUAGCCCUCCAGCUCUGUGACUUUAGCAUCAUAGCCUCUUACUGCACUGAGGCUAGCCCUCCAGCUGAGACUGAAGCACGCUCUGACCCUCUGCCCCUCCAGAGCUGCUCAGCAGCCUUGUGUCUUCUACAUCCUCUCUGCUUUGUUUUCUGAAGUACAGUCAGAUCAUCUCUGAGAAAACACAAGCCUGUGUUGUCCAGUCUCCCAUCUUCACAGAGAUGAGAGGAUUGUCUCAGUUUCCCUCUUCUGACUGUCUAUUAGGAAGCAGGGCUUGCUUUUCCCUGGCCCUGUUUUCAUUUGGAAGCCAUGGUUAGCAUGCUUCCUCACUGGAAGCUUAGACCUUGAAUUCCCAUGGAACGUCAUACUGCCUGGGAAGAAAUUCAGCUUGUACUUGGAGAAUUUUCACCUUUGGGACCAUGUACCAUCCAGUGCCCAUGGAUGCGGGUUUUUGGUUUUGUUCAGGCUGUGAGAAGUUACACGCUGGUCAGCUGACUUUUCUUUUCUGAGAGAAUCACCUCUCAAAUGCUUUCCUGUGCUCCCUGAGGGCCUCCUGGCUGGUUGCAGGUUUCUGUUUUACUGGUGUUCUGGGCUGGCUGGUGUCCUGUUAUCACUUGAUAGAAAGAAUAGAAAAUGUUUCUACUCUUACCCUGCUAGCGUUGAGUAGUGUUAAAUCCUAUACAUGGAGAGGGGAAGUCAAAUUGUAGAGUCUAAAGUAAACUUUAAGUCAAACCCUAAACUGUCCCCACACCACCCUUUGAUACACGGGUGGCUAAUCCUGCUGCAAAAACAAGACUUCUCUUUGGAUUUUCUUUACAGCUAUCUAAUACUUGGCUAGUCUCUUUGCUUAGGGCCUUUUAAGGUAGGAUCAGGACUUCAGGACUCUGUGGGGUUGAAGUCCAGGGGUCCUGUUCUGGCUAUGCCCUCCCCAUGAUGAUUGGUGGGUCUGCAGGAGGACAGCUUUUUAACCUGUGCCUCCCGUCCAGUCACCCUAAGAUUGAGCAAGGGAUGUGUCUGUGGAAAAAGUUAAAAGUUGGGAAGCAAUCAACAAGAGUUCUGUGGUAGCCAGUACCCCCACUCCUUAGUUCCACAGUUGGAAUUCUCCUUGACCUCAUCACAUUUUAGCCUGUGUGUUGAUUGUAAUUUUUGACAUUGUAAAUUUCUAGAUAGGAAAAUGCUUCCCCUGCCCAGUGACCAGAUUAGGAGAGCCAUAACCUGGGUACAAUGAUAAUACUUUGACCUGUGUGUGUGUGUAUAUAUAUGGUGUGUAUGUGUGUAUAUGUGUGUUCAGGUUAUGUGGCAGCCAACCAUAUUAAAUGAGUGUUAAUUUAUUAUAGACAAAUAUUGAUCUUUUUAAAAUGGGAUGCUCUUAAUUCUUGAGUUUUUAAAGAAUUUGAUUAAAUAGAGCUACUUUUACAUGAGCUUGGUCCCCUCUGUCCCCUCUAUCUCAUGUCUUAGAACCAUCACCCUCCAAUGUCACCCCAGUGCUUUAUCUCCAACAUACUGCUAUGCCACUAAGGUUUUAUUUAACUUUAUUUAUGGAUAUGUGUCUGUGAACAACAACUGUGCCACUGCUGGGUUGCACAGUGUGUGGGCUAAGAGUGGCCCAAUGUUGCUUUUUGAAUGUCUUAAAAUGCGGCUUUUGGGUCUGGGGAGCAGUGGUGUGUUCACAUGUGUGGGUGUCUGGUGUGCUGCUACAGUUGUAACACUGGAGCUGGAGAAAAUAAAGAAUCGAUCCUG
rnacentral:lncRNA from 1 species